AGGAAAACUUGAACCAGGGGGUAAACUGAGAUAGAGUUGGCCAGAGCCGGAAAUUAUAACAAGCUGUGAACAAUCAUUGAAGCUUCCUGAAGGUACUAGAGUGGUCUUUGCUGUGAUCUUCAGAAUUGCAUACGUUUUAUUAGUCAGCUGUAUAGAAGCGGGUACUAUGCCUUCUACCUAUCCCUGGGCCUCUAUGAUGGAGUGCCUACCAUUUUUCAGGUACUUUUUUGCAACUUAUUUGAAAUGUUUAUAAAAUAAGAAUUUCAAAUCUAUCAAAUCUAAAAUUUUGAUAUUACACCUCCUCCUUUUUCUGAGAGACAAGGGGCUAAUAUUUUUGACUACAGCUGCAUGAGUCCAGGAUUCAAACAUAGCCAUAUGUUGAUGUAUAUCCAAAACUCUUUCUACCACAAUCUACACUCUGUCAUGACCAGCUAAGGUGUGAACAUUUGUACAUUUGCACAGAACAAAAAGUAGGAGGUAUCUGGGGUGUGGACUGCUAAGAGAAAGUGCAAUUUUGUACAUGAGCUUCCAAUACACUCAAAAAGUAUUAAAUUUUAGUACAUGAACU
rnacentral:lncRNA from 1 species